CAAUAGCGUAUAUUUAAGUUGCUGCAGUUAAAAAGCUCGUAGUUGGAUUUCGGGUGGGAAUGGCCGGUCCGCCGUUUCGGUGUGCACUUGCUACGCCCACCUUGCUGCCGGGGACGUGCUCUUGAGUUCACGCUCGGGACACGGAGCCGGCGAGGUUACUUUGAGUAAAUUAGAGUGUCCAAAGCAGGCCUACGCUCUGAAUACAUUAGCAUGGAAUAACACGAUAGGACUCUGGCCUAUCUUGUUGGUCUGUAGGACCGGAGUAAUGAUUAAGAGGGACAGUCGGGGGCAUUCGUAUUUCAUUGUCAGAGGUGAAAUUCUUGGAUUUAUGGAAGACGAACUACUGCGAAAGCAUUUGCCAAGGAUGUUUUCAUUAA
rnacentral:rRNA from 1 species